AUGCUUGGGAAUCUGGCUUAUGGAGGGGGAUAACUGUGGGAAACUGCAGCUAAUACCGCGUAUUCUCUGAGGAGGAAAGGGUGGGACCUUAGGGCCACCUGCCAUAAGAUGAGCCCAAGUGGGAUUAGGUAGUUGGUGGGGUAAAGGCCUACCAAGCCUGCGAUCUCUAGCUGGUCUGAGAGGAUGACCAGCCACACUGGAACUGAGACACGGUCCAGACUCCUACGGGAGGCAGCAGUGGGGAAUAUUGCGCAAUGGGGGGAACCCUGACGCAGCCAUGCCGCGUGAAUGAAGAAGGCCUUCGGGUUGUAAAGUUCUUUCGGUAAUGAGGAAGGGAUGUUGUUAAAUAGAUAGCAUCAUUGACGUUAAUUACAGAAGAAGCACCGGCUAACUCCGUGCCAGCAGCCGCGGUAAUACGGAGGGUGCGAGCGUUAAUCGGAAUAACUGGGCGUAAAGGGCACGCAGGCGGACUUUUAAUUGAGAUGUGAAAUCCCCGAGCUUAACUUGGGAACUGCAUUUCAGACUG
rnacentral:rRNA from 1 species